rnacentral:rRNA from 1 species
UACGUAGGGCGCAAGCGUUGUCCGGAAUCAUUGGGCGUAAAGAGCUCGUAGGUGGUCUGUUACGUCUGCUGUGAAAUCCUAGGGCUUAACCCUGGGCCUGCAGUGGAUACGGGCAGACUAGAGGUAGGUAGGGGAGAAUGGAAUUCCCGGUGUAGCGGUGAAAUGCGCAGAUAUCGGGAGGAACACCGGUGGCGAAGGCGGUUCUCUGGGCCGUACCUGACACUGAGGAGCGAAAGCGUGGGGAGCGAACAGG